rnacentral:rRNA from 1 species
GGGGAAUAUUGCACAAUGGGCGAAAGCCUGAUGCAGCAACGCCGCGUGAGUGAUGAAGGUCUUCGGAUUGUAAAGCUCUGUCUUUUGGGACGAUAAUGACGGUACCAAAGGAGGAAGCCACGGCUAACUACGUGCCAGCAGCCGCGGUAAUACGUAGGUGGCGAGCGUUGUCCGGAUUUACUGGGCGUAAAGGGUGCGUAGGCGGAUGUUUAAGUGAGAUGUGAAAUACCCGGGCUUAACUUGGGUGCUGCAUUUCAAACUGGAUAUCUAGAGUGCAGGAGAGGAGAAUGGAAUUCCUAGUGUAGCGGUGAAAUGCGUAGAGAUUAGGAAGAACACCAGUGGCGAAGGCGAUUCUCUGGACUGUAACUGACGCUGAGGCACGAAAGCGUGGGUAGCAAACAGGAUUAGAUACCCUGGUAGUCCAC